GCUUUUUUGCAGGGGUGGCGAGGGGCCUGAGAUGAUACCCGUUGAACCUGAUCUGGAUCAUGCCAGCGAAGGGAAGUGCAAAUCCGUCUUU
rnacentral:ncRNA from 2 species